rnacentral:lncRNA from 1 species
UCUGACAUGACAACUCCAUAAUCAAACUUGAAAGGAGACUAAUUUCCAGCUGGUGGCGGGGAGAGGAAUGGAAUAGAGGGAAUUGUAGUUGGGAGAGGGAUAUUGGGAAUUGAAGGCAUGCUUGGAAGUGGAGGCAAGGUGGCCUUGGGGACGACGGUAGGCAGUGCUGGCAUGCUUGGAAGUGGAGGCAAGGUGGCCUUGGGGACGACGGUAGGCAGUGCUGGCAUGCUUGGAAGCGGAGGCAAGGUCGCCUUGGGGACGACGGUAGGCAGUGCUGGCAUGCUCGGAAGUGGAGGCAGAGAGGGUUUAGGCAGUGAAGGUUGUUGCGUGGUGGGCAAAGUUGGCAAUGUGGGCUGUGGAAGUGUUGGUAUAGAAGGCAUUGGUGGCAAUGCAGGUUUAGGCAAACUGGGCACGGAAGGUAGAGGGGGCAAUUGCAGAAGAUGACGGGCUGCCCCGCCGCGUGAAAGGGACACAGCGAUGAAAAGAGCUAAGAUGAAACAGUUGAGACUUGCCAUCUUGAUGCUAAGUCUUAUGGCCUGAAAGAGAGUAUAUGAACAGGAGAUAAGGAGGUAAAGAACUGUGUGAGAUUGUCUGUGACAAACUAGGGCUCCUCAUAUCGGGUUUUUAUAGAUGGAAACGAAGUGGAGAUCCAUUUCUGUGAUCUGUCACAGAUGGUUGGUUUAGGUUAGAAAGCAAGACAAUCAUUUUGUGUUUUGUAAUUGGUAGGUCACCUUCUUUUCCAUCUUCCAUUGAAAACAAUACCAUGUUUUUUUUUUGUCUUGUUGUGGUGACUAGGAGUACGUUUUUUCCCUUCUUUCACUCCUCGUGCUGGCUAUUGCAGGACUCAAACUUGUUUUGUUGGCCAAUCUAACUAUUGUUAUCCGUUUGGUAAUGUGAUUUUGAGUUCAGAGGAACAUCUAAUUAGUCCUGAAAAUGUUGUUUUCCUUGAAAAGGAAGAAGAAAAACUCAGUGUUCUAGCCAAUCUAAUCUUUCUUCUACUGCAUAACUCCACACAAAAUCAGUCCUGUCUUCUAGAUGCUAAGACUAACUAACAAAACGGGUUAUGGCUUCUUGUUCUUUGACCGCAAAGGGAUAUGUAGUUGAAACUUGAAAAAUCGAAUUUUCCCUUGUACCCAAUGGCGCAAGCACAACUUGCUUAAAGCACUUACAAGAGAAAAAAAACUGAGGUAACAUUUGGUUAUUUUCUGAAAACAAGAUAAAAAGAAGACGGAAACAGUCGAGAAAAUGGAGUCUAUUAGUGGUGUAUAAAACAAAAUACAUAUUUUGUAAUGUUAUCUUCUUGUAUGUAUUAAAAAAUAAUAUAAAUUAUUUUUUAAGAUUUGACUUAAUAAUUUAAAUUAUUAGUUUUAAAUGAUUAUUUGAUAUAAUAUUCGAGUCUUGAUAACUAAACGGUUAUAAAUUUAAAUCUCAUCAUCUUUAUUUAUUUGAUAAAAAUUAAGCAUAACAUAAUAUAUGCCCAUAUAAGUUUCAAGCUCAAAAAUUAUAUUUUGAAAACCUUACCCAAUAACUUAAAUUAUUAAAUUAAAAUGAUUUUUUUAACACCAUGUUCAUGAAGUAGAAGUUGGGACAAAAUGCCAAAUUGGUGAACAACUGAACAUUCGAUUAGAUGAUGGAGAAAGUUUUUAAUUAAAGAGAAUUAUUGAUGUAUAUAGGCAAACCUUGUCCGGCCAAUUAUCCUGUGGUCACAGCUGAAAAAGGAUUUGCCUGUGUUCUUGUGCAAAAAUUCCUGUAGGAUUUACUUUUUAUUCUGCCUUCAUCAUGACUCUAUACCUUCUGGUAAUUUCUGAAACGAAUUACCAAUGCCCUAUAAUUUUGCGUGUCAGGUUGCAUGAAAUAAUAACACACAAAUUUCUAUUACAGUCCACAAUCCAAAAAACUUAAAACAGACGAUCAUAUCAUGUUCACAUUAACUCACAAUUAUUACAGCAUACACAUUAUUGUUUCGUCAACAUGUUUAAUUUAAAGAGAAAAUCUUACCCCAAUCUUUCGGUCAAAUAGCUUCAAAGUUCAUGAAAUGAAAAUUAUCAUUUAGAAAUCUCUUAUAUAUUUGGCUGGUGGAUACUCUUGAGUUUCCCAAGCAUUAGAAAUUAUAAAUCUAAAAUUGUUUUUGGAUUCUUGAGAUUUAGAGUUAUUUAGAAUAUAUACAAAAAUUACUUGAAAAUCAAAUAUUAUUUUUGGUUUUGAAUAAUUUCUUAAAGACUGGGUUAUUGCAAAUCCCAAGCCAUCUAAAUAUCCAACAUUUAAUGAUAAUUCAUACGAACAAUUUCAUUUAAUUUUUGCUCCAUUAUUAAAUAGAAGAUAUCUUUUCACAAUAUUGAUAUGCAUUUAUUUUUUAAGAUGAUUAUUGCAUGUUUUAUUAAUUUAAUUUAUUUAUUAUUGAUGCUAUUUUUAAUUAUAUUAUUUUAAUAACUGGAAUUACUGAGUCAAAACUUGUUAAUAACUCAAACUUUUGAUUUUUUUUUUUUUUUUUUUUACAAACAUUAGUAUCACUUCAACACCCCUUGUUUUAUAUUGAAAAAAAACUUCAUCUGAUCAGCGGCGUAGCGUGAUACACCUAUGUAAGUUCUUUCUAUUUAUUUUUCUAACAUUUUCUACAAGCUAAUCGACUCAUUAUCACAGGCCUAUCAUUCAAAGGUACAACUAGUGUCAUUUCCAAAGCCAUGGUAGAACAUCAAAGGUACAACUCCUGCCAUCUCAGAAAGGGUGUUUCUGAAAUAAUGAAAUAUCAAACACAGACAACCUUAAAUAAAUAGGCUCAUAUAUUGGUUAAAAGAAAAGAGAAGAAUGAACUAAUUAAAUGUGAAAGUUCAUAUAUAUAUAUAUAUGAUGAAAGGAGACAAAUGAAUACAAGAAGCAAUUAACAGUGUUCAAAUGAAAGUAUACAGACAACACAAUUCCUCAAACUUCCGCGUAGAGAAGUAAGAGCCAAGCACUCAAAAGAUAUAUCUCUGACAUGACAACUCCAUAAUCAAACUUGAAACGAGACUAAUUUCCAGCUGGUGGCGGGGAGAGGAAUGGAAUAGAGGGAAUUGUAGUUGGGAUAGGGAUAGUGGGAAUUGAAGGCAUGCUUGGAAGCGGAGGCAAGGUGGCCUUGGGGACGACGGUAGGCAGUGUUGGCAUGCUUGGAAGCGGAGGCAAGGUGACCUUUGGAACUGCAGGCAUUGUUGGCAUCGUAGGGAGGCUAGGAAGUGGAGGCAAGGUGGGUUUAGGCAGUGAAGGUUGAGUGGUUGGCAAGGCUGGCAAGGUGGGCUGUGGCAGAGAUGGUAUAGAAGGCAAUGGUGGCAAUGGUGGUUUUGGCAGAUUUGGCAAUUGCAGAAGAUUACGAGCUGCUUCCCCUCCCAAAAACGACAAAGCAAUGAAGAGAGACAAGACAAGACACUUGAAAGUUGCCAUGCUGGUAAUGUUCCAAGGCCUCACAAGACUAUAUAUGAGCAAUAAUAUAUAAGCAAAAAGAGGAUUGCAGGAAAUUGUGAGUGACAAUGGAGGACUUUUCUUUGGGUUAAUAUAGAGGAGAUGAAGAGGGGAGCUUGAAUUGUUGGUGUUGUUGAGAAAAAUGGACAGUCAUUUUGAGAUUUGUCAUUGUUAGUUCACCUUUAUAUCUACGUCUAUUGAAAAUAGUAGCACAUGUUGAUUGUUGUUGACUAGCCAUGGUUUUCUUCAGUUUCUUUUUCUUUUUUCAUACGCAAGAUUCAAACACUUGAAGUUCUUCUUUUCUCCCCAGUUUGUUUUUUAGGUGAAUAAGUGCAGUUCAUUGGUUGUUGACCAGCAAUCAAGUUAACUAUAUAUAUAGAUUACAUGAAUCCAUUAAUAAUUAUCAAAUCAGAUUUUAAAAUUCUUAGACCACAGGGAGAUGACCAAGUUAUCCAUACCAAAAAAAAUAAAAAAUAAUAAAAUUAGAAUCCAAGGGUUUUUUUAUAUUUUUUCUUUUUAAAGCAUAGUCUAAAGAAUAAAUUACCUUUAAAAGUACAAUUUUUUUAACUCACAUCCAAGUGUAUUUUUUGUAAUUUCAUCCAGGUUUUUUUUAAUUAUAAUUAAGUUGAUUGAGAGAAAAUUGAUAGUUUAAUAACUAUAAUAUUAUCAAAAAUUGUUGAAGCAUGUAAUAUACAUGUUAAUGAGUGGGUCAACAUGUGAGGAGGCAUUCGACUACCAAAUAAUGGUUUCCAGAAUGAUGUUCAAAUUAUCAUGGUUGUCCUUCUAUCUAUAGUCAACAUGUGUGACUUACUGACACUCGAUUUGACAUUGAUGAUUUUUUUGGUUUUUUUUUUUUUUUUUUUCUUUUUUGAUUUUCAUUUCUAACCCUCUAAAUUUUCAAAAUAGUCAUUCAAUUUUUUUUUCCAGAUUUGAUCCAUUUUUUUUUAUUACUGUUUGUUCUAUUUAAAAUAAUUUAUAAAAUUAAAGUUUUUUUUCAAUUUCAUCAUCUAAUUUUUUCAUCGAUCAGAUUUGGUUCCUAUUAUUUUUAUUGCUAUUUUUUUACUUGAGCUAAUUUAAAAUUAUUUUUUUUAUGAUUUUAUUAUCUUUUAGUUUUUUUUCCUAUCAAAUUUGAUUAUCAUUUUUUUAUUGCUAUUUUUUUUGUACUUUAGCAAAUUUUUUAUAUUGAUAUUUUUUUUUGUUUCAUCCUUCAACAUUAAAUUUAUUAGAGAUUGAGUUUCUUAAUUGAGCUUGAGUUUAGAUGCUUCAGAAUGUAAUUUGGACUCGUUUCUUCAUGAAACCUAUUUGCUGGCAGAAUUCAGUUGUCAUCUUUGAAAAAUCAUAUAUCCCUCAUAAGACAUCUUUUUAGGCCGCAAUUGGGAGUGUUGAUAGGUAUUUGAGUAAGGAAUCCAACAAAGUGAGUUUGCAUCAAUUGGACUUCUGUAGCUCCAGAUAUUCAAGUCGAAAUGGCUGAAGAUCAACACUGACAAAUUGCAAGAUUUGACUUUGAAGGCCGUGAUUUCCAUGCUCUUUCUUAUUUUAUUUUUUUGCCUUAUAUGUCCAGAAAGGUAUGGAUUCUAGCUUUUUAAUGCCACUAGAACCACUUCAUUUUGACAUUUAGAGCUUGUGCUCUGCACAAAACAUUGACUGAAGGUCAAAUCUGCCAAUAACCUCCAAUUUUCUCCUUUUUGUAUCUUUUAUCCAAAAGUGCCUUCAAAACAUAAAAUAACGAAUAUCAAGGCAUUUUAUAUAUAAAACAUAGGCAAAACACAAGUUAAAUGUGGGUGAAACUAUCAAAUAAUAUGGUUGCAUCAAAGCUCCAUAACUAUGUGUUGAUAUAUUGAGCACAAAAGAAAGGUUUAUUAAUAUCGUGAUUAAGAAGUAUGGAGUAGCUAUAUAAAUUUAAUGAGAGUUUGUUUAUUUGAAUGAAUCAAUAAGAAGUUAAGUGAUGAAUGCCUUGCUCAUGGAUCUUGCAAAUUGUUUUUCUAGUUUAACGCUUUAAUUACUAGGAACUAGUUGGAGGGUGUGAUUAGUACUUAAAAGUGCAUUCUCAUUAAGGCUUUAUAUCAUUAUAUUGCACUUAAAGUAUAAUUAAAUUCCCUAACUUAAGCAUGUUUUAUAAUAACAAGUCUUAUAAUAUAAGAUAGCUUUAAUUUAUUAUAAAUGCUCAUUUUAAAUGCAGGCAUAUCUCAUAAUUCAAAGUAUUGAUUGAUGUGAUUAACUAUUGAAAGUGAAAGGAUAAAGAAAGGGCUAAGCUUAGAAAAGAGAAGUUGGUUCAAUUCAAACUGGAACACCAUUCAAUCAUUGGGUCAUAUCUGGAGCUGUAGAUCUUGGAUUUCAGUCUGGUUUAUAUGGUUUGAAAUCUAAGAUAUAGGCCUAAAACAUUCAUGUAGAGUCUAAGACUCAAUUCUGCCCUUUUUAAGUUCAAACCUUAGCAACAAGAGAGAAGUCCAAAUCUAUCUUGCAGCCCAGAGAUUGUUCAGUGUUUAGCCCAUAUCUCGAGUUCUAGAAGUUCAAAUGCACUCUUUUUUUUUUUUGGUGGAAAGCUCAGAUAGAUUCCUACAACUUUCAUGAGACCAAUUUGCCAAAUUUGGAUUGUAGCAGUGCCAUUUUGUCCCGAAAACAAAUCCAUAUCUAAACCACCAAGUCCACUAAGUCAUUAGUUGGCCACUAAUUCAAUAGUUAAUUACCAAAUGAAUAGUUUUUUUUAGCCUAUAAAAUGAGGCAUUUGCCAUACAUUUAGGCAUCUUGGUUUUUAGAUCAAUAUCAUUUUCUUGCUUUCUCUCAUUGUAAUGUUCAAGUUUUAUUUUCAUUAAUCUCUUAUUUAUACUUUUCAUUUCCUUUACUACUCUUAGUUAACUUAUAUCAUGAUUAUGUUCAUAUCCUGUUUAUUUAUAUUCUUCUUCUUCAUUAUGUCUAGCUAAGUUAAUUAUUUCAAGGUGAAAAGGUUUCACUAAUGGUGUUAGAAUUAUAUAAUAUAAACUCAACAUGGACUUCAAUGUUUAUAUCCAAGAAAGUUUGUUGUUAACAUGUCUUAUCUUUUUAUCUUACUAAUUCGUAAUACCUUGCUUGUCAAAUGAUUAAUCUAGAUUUGUGUUGUAUAACACUUGGUACAAUAAAUGUUUGAUCCUUCAUAGUUUUCGGCCAACAUCAUUGUUAUGAGAAGAACUUGAUUUGUUAUUAACAUAAGUUAGCAUCAUGAAUUCAUGAUAAUAUAUAAAAGUAUGGUGUUACUAAAAUAAGAUAAUUAUUAUGAUCAUGUUAAAAAUUUAUAAUGAAUUAUUAAAGAUAAAUCAUUCGAUUGGAAUCUCUUUUACGUGUGGUUUCCAGUUGAAUAAUAAAAGGAGUUUAUAUUAUACUUAUUUCUAAUACCAUUAGUGGAUCCUCUAACCUUGACAAUUGUUUUUAUCAUUAUUUAUUUAAUCCUCACAUUAAUCUCACAACUCAAAGUUCUAUUUAAUUCUCUCUUUAUAUAUAUAUAUAUAUAUAUAUUAUUUGUAAUUUAUAUAGUUGACUUCCCUGUGCAUCGAUCCCGAUCUUGCCGAGUUAUUUAUUACUUUGACACUCCUGCACCUAGGAUAAAACAUCAACUCUUUGGUCGUGUUAUUAAGCGAAGGACAAUAUGCUAAGAACUUAUCUCAUCUCAUUUGCUCUCCGCACUGCAUAAACUUUGUUUUAUUUUACUUUUUUCGGAGAUUGCUUUAAUCAACUAACACUCUUUGCUUAUUUCCUAAUCCCUGGCUAGAAAAUUAAUCAGAAGCUUCCACUUCUCUCCGUUGAGGCCAUGAUGAAGGUCACUUGUUCUAAAACCAGUACUCUUAAGACCAAAAGGUUGGGAGGAUUUUAAGGCUUGUGGAGCGCAUCUCCUUUUUUGUGAUAGCAAUUUGUCAAAACUCUCUUGGUGCGUAAAAGAGAGGUUAGAAAUGCCCUAUUUAUGAGAGUUACAUUGUCGAUAAUAUAAUCUUAAUAUAUAAUAUAAUCCUCACGUGCCCAAUAUUGUCAAAGCAAUUUGUACGAUGGUUAGAGAGAUUGUGUCCAAAUUGUACGAUUCUCCUCGACUUUUUUGGAUCACGGUUAUACAUAAUUUUUUUUUUUUUUUACCAUGAUUCUCCAUAAUAUCAAGUUUAAAAUUAUAUGGUAGAAAGGAAAUAGCUACAAAAGUGCAUAUAAUCUGGGAAGCAAAGAGACAACCACACAUUAAUCCGAGUUGUAGCAAAAACACAAUUGUGCUAUAAAUGGCAAACACUAUACAUGCAUGCUACAUAUUUAUAAAAGCCUGACCUUUCGCAUUAUUGUCACCAAAUCCAUAUUCAGAAAGCAUUAAUGGUAUCGUCUAAAGCAUUGCUGGUUUUGGGAGUUUUCAUGCUCUUGAUGACCACAUUUGUAGCAGGAGAUGUGGCCGAUACCAUUAGAGACAAACCACCAUACAUAAGUUAUGGUGGUCUUGGAUGUGACCCAAAGAAGAAUCCCCGGUGCCUCAACCCAAACCCAGCCCCUUCAGGAAGAGGUUGCAAAGCCGAACAUCGAUGUAGGGAAGGCUAGUGAGGGGAUCGAGCUACACCUUUGGAAGUAGGCCAAAUCGUUGAAUAAGUUUAUUCUUAUGGUAGCAAUACGAUCAUCAAUGGAUGAUUUCUUUUGCUCAAGAUGAUUAUUUCUUCUCCUUUCAAUUUCAUUUCGUGAAUUUUUUCACAUUAUAUAUUAUGUUGUAAUAAAUAUUACAUUAACAAAUAAUCUAAAAUACCUGGAAAAAACAUUGUGGAUGUUCAUUGUGAAAAGACAGUUUCACUUUUCUCUACACAAACCAAAUAACUUGCAAUCGAGGUAUAUUUUUUUUAAUGAACAAUGAUAUAAAUUAAUUGUCCUUGUAAUAAAAAAAAUUUAAAAACUUUCUUAUAGGAGUUUUUUUUUCUUUGACUGUUGGUUUUUUUGUUAUACUCAGGUGAGCUAAGAGGCAUUUUAGUCUUUUAGUCUCUCUCACACACAUGUAUAUAAAGUAAUUGGUGCAAGCCAUACACGUUCUAGCUAGUAGACACCACACAUGCUCUUCCCUUGCAGUGGCAAAACACCACAUUUUGUGACUGCGUUGGAAGCACAUUGACGUCCUUUUUCUAGUGGUGCAACCUAUGUGUGGGUUUUUUUUUUUCCUAUUCCUCCAUCUUUUCUCUUUUCUCAUUGCCAAGGUAUGGUGGUGUCCUAUCAUUUAUUUUUGUAUCAAAUUUGAUAUCUUUUAUUUUUUUUAUUGCUUUUUGUUUUGUUUUUCAAGGUAUGGUGGUGUCUUAUCAUUUAUUUUUUGUAUCCAAUCUGGUUUUUAUUCUUUUAAUUGCUAUUUGUUUUGGGUUUUUUAUCUUCUUUUAAUUUAUCUUUUAACUCAAUUUCCUCCCUAAUCAUUUCGUUUAAUUUGAUUUUUAUAUCAAAUGUGGUCAUUCUUUUGAUUUUUUCUCUUUUACUAAUUGAAUUUUAUUUUCAAUUUCAUCCCUAGCAUGCAUUUCAUUUCAAUUAAAUUAUUUUGAAUUUGGUCCCUAUUUUUUAUUGUUUUUUAAUUUCUUUCAAUACAUGUUUUAUAUCAACCCUAUAAAAUACUUAUAGUUCAUGCAUUGACUCGAUUAUGGAUUUAUUAAUCUCAUUUAAUACAUUUAUUUCUUAAUUUUUGUUAAGGGUUCGUUAAUACAUGUAACUUAUAUUUAACUUCGGUUAUCAAUUUAUCAACCUUGUUCACCACACUUGAAUCAUAUUUAACUUAAGUUGUGGGUUUAUUAUUCUCGUUUAAUACAUUUAACUAAUGCCUUAUUUUGAUUAUGGUUUCAUUACAUCUUUCAAUUUCCGUGGCUUAUAUUUAAGGGUGACCUUAUUCAUUUAAUCAAUUUAAUAAUCUUAUUCAUUUUCUGGUACUCAUAAUCCUACUUUAUGUCAACUAUGUAUUUUUUAUAUAUAAUAUGAUGUUUGUGGUCAAUUCUUGCAUCAACCCCACACUUAUUUAUCAAUUUUGCUAGUUUAUAGUCCACGUUGUUAAUUGAGUCUAGUUCCUAGAACAAUGAUUGUACCCACACCCUAGCCAUGAGUAACUGUCAACAUUGCAAAGAUUAAGAAAAAAAAAUGUUCAAGGCCAUCCCAUCUAUGAUAAGAAUUGCAGCUAAACUGUUAUGGAAAGGCUAAGGGAACAACAAAAUUAUUCCAUCCCACGAAGCAAAAAUAAAAAGUUUUCAUUUUAAAAAUGAACCAAUCAUACCUCAAAAGACGGUAAACCAAGAAAAUUUAAAAAUCCAAAGACAGUAAACCAAAAAGAAUCCAAAAACGAAAUCAUGUUGCAUAAAAACAAAGAAAACCCUUCCAAACCAACCCCAAGAGAAAGGGGGGAAACGAUUAAGCAAAAUUGAAACAAAAAAAGUAUGCAAACAAAAUAUUUUGAAGCAAUUUAGCAAAAUAAACUUAUUGCAUGAAACUAAACAUGCACUAAACAAUGAAAGAACAGAGAACACAACAAAAUAUGGAAAUUGUUGGAUUUCUUUGUGUUUGGGACGACUCCAACAACAAUGAAACAAAACAAUAAUGAAAUCACCAGGAACAAAUAACUUCAUCAAGCAAACAACUUACAUAGCAAAAUCAUUCUUAGAAAAUGUUGUCAAUUGUCCUUAACACAACAGUUCAGCCAGAAAUGAACAAAUAUGCCAAGAAUCCAACACUAGUAGCUAACUAAUACUUCAACAACAAUAUGAAGCCCAAUCAAACAUGCAAUAAAGAAUGAUGGCCAAGCAAGGGAAAAUAAAGGAAUUGAACCCAUUGAUGCUCGGACACUUAGGCAAGCAAGGCAGAACAAAAAAUUGAUCCAUGAUAAUAAUGGUUAUGCAUGGUUUGCAUGUUAAUUCAUUAAUGACAAUGUUUAUGUUUCUUAAAAUGUUAAUAAAGUGAGUUAGGCUUUUAAUUCUACUUCUUACUAUUCUUUUAAGUGUGCACACGAUCUACACCCAACCUUUAAUUACCCGUAGCAAAGCUCGGGCAAUCAAUCUAGUAGAGUCUAAACAUUAAAAGGGUGAAGUUUAGCUAAUUUUCUCAAGUUUAUCCAAUGUGGUCAUUAGUAUGGAAAGUGAUUUGUUUUGAGUAUAAGUAAUAUAAAAUACAUUUUAGGAUGCAAGUCAUUAUCCAUAUUAAUUUUCAAUCUUUUUGUCCACACAAAAUUUCUAGCGGUGAAAACAUACGUUGCCUUUCGUGAUUUUUUAAGUUCAAACUUCGAGGUAAAAAUAUGAAAAACUUAGGUUGAGUAUUGAUAUAUCAAUAGCACAUUAGAUAGCACAGUACAUCAUGCACACAUCACCAUAGUUGAGUUUAAAACUCAGAAUAGUUUAAUAAAAGAAAAUAAAUCUGAUGUAAAUAUAUUAUUUCAAAGACAUACUAGUAAUGUGACACGACCAAAAGCUUGAUGUCUUUUCCCAAGUGCAGGAGUGUCGAAGUAAUAAAUAACCCGGCAAGACCGGGGUCGAACCACAGAGAGGUUAAUUGUAUAAAUUAUAAAUAACAAGACAACAACAACAACAACAACAACAACAACAACAACAACAACAAUAAUAAUAACAAUAAUAAUUAUUAUUAUACUCAGUACGUGGCGUUGUUAUACCUGAGAAUGAUCUAAAGAUCGGGUCACAGGUUUCCAGCCUAUAUACUGAGUUUAUGAAAAGAUCAAAUAUAUAUAUUAUAUAAUAUAAACAGAAUGUAAAUAAUAAUAAUAAUAAUAAUAAUAAUAACAGAAGAUGAAGAAAUUAAUGAGAACUUUGAGAUAAAAGAUUAACGUAAGGAUUAAACAAUGAUAAAAACAAAUGUCAAGGUUAGAGGAUCCACUAAUGGUACUUCAAACAAGUAUAAUAUAAACUCUUAUUACUCAAUUGGAAACCACACAUAAAGGAGGUUCCAAUCAUAUUAUAAAUUGUUAACAUGAUUACAUUAGUUAUCUUAUUCGAAUAAAGCUAAUACUUGUAAAUGUUGGCAGGCAUUCAUGAUUAUAACUUAUGUUAACAACAAAUCAAGUUCCUUUCAUAGCUCAGGUGUCGGUUAAACCAUACAGUAUGGGCUAUGAAAGUGCCAAGUAUUUGUUGUACCAAGUGUUACAACAUAAAUCUAGAUUAACCAUUUAACAAGCAAAGUAUUAAAAGUGAACAAGAUAACAAAUAUAAAACAUGUUAGUAUCCAACGUUAAGGUCCAUGUUAAGUUUAUAUUACUAUUCUUACACCAUUAGUGUACCCUUUUCACCUUGACAUAAUUAACUUAGCUAGACAUAAUAAAAAAAAACAUAAAUGAGCAAGACAAGAACAUAAAUGAGAAAGAAGUUAACUAACAAAGGAAAGGAAAUGAAGUGCAUAAACUUGAUAUUAAUGAAAGCAAACAUAAGCAAUACAAAGAGAGAAAGCAAGAGCAUGAUCUUGAUCUGAAACCAAGAUGCCUCAAUACAUGGUAAGUGCCUCCUUUUAUAGGCCAAAAUUUGGAACUAUUGAUUUGUUGACUAAUUGAUGAGUGGGUGGCCACAUCUUGACUUGAUAACAAUCCUUAUCUUCUUGUCUGAACAAGACGUCAUUGCUAACAUCAUAAUUUGCCCAGAAUCCUCAGAAUGUUCUAGGAAAUUGUCUCAGCUUUCCAACAAAAAAAAGAUGAGGUCAUUUGGACUUCUAGAACUCAAGAUAUGGGCUGAACACUAAAUAGUGUUUGGGCUGCAGGACAGCUUCGGACUUCUUCGUUGUUCCUUCAAUUUGGACUUCAAAACGACCUUUUCAAAUCUUGGGCUCCUCAUGAAAGUUGUAGGCCUUGUCUUACCUUUCCAUCCAUAUAAAGGACCUAAAUCCGAAUCUAGAGCUCCAGAUAUGAUCCAAUUACCGAGCAAUGUUCCGGUUUGGACUGCACCGACAUCUCUUUUCUAAGUUUGGCCAUCUCUUUGUCCUUUAACUUUCAAUGCUUAAACUCAUCAAUCAAUCCUUUUAUUUAUGUGAUAGUCCUGCAUUUAAAAUGAGCAUUUACCAUAAAUUAAGGUAUCUUAUAAUAUCAAACUUGUUAUUAUAAAACAUGCUUUAGUUAAGGAGUUAUUGAUACUUCAAGUGCAAAAUGAUGAUAUAAAACCUUGAUAAACAUGCACUUUUAAGUACUAAUCACACCCCCCAACCAGCUUAUUACUAGUCCCUAGUAAUCUAAAGCGUUAAAAUAGAGAAACAAUUUGCAAGUUCCACAAAGCAAGGCAUUCAUCAUUCAACUUCCAUUAAUCUAUCCAGAUAAACAAACUCUCAUUAAAUUUAUAUUCCUGCUUCAUACUUCGUAAACAAGAUAUUAAUAAACCUUCUUUUUGUGUGCUCAAUGAAAACAUAGAUGAUGGGGCUUUUGUUGGAAGAAAACAAUAUUAUGUUCAAAUGUUUAAGGUGAACUUCCUUGGGUUGGGAUUUUUUUUUUUUUUUUUUUUUUUAUUUAUAUACACAUACAACUUAAAACACAAUGUAUCUUUAACCCAUGUAACGAGUUUUAGGCUAAUGACUCCCAGACCAGUUGGUCUUAGGGCAUUAGGUGUUGAGACACCCCUACGAGCUUAACAACUCGGGUUGCAGAUACUGAUACGUAGAUAGUGCAAUGUUUGAUUCCCUUAAGCUUUUCUCCUUAACCCAUGUAACAAGCUUUGGGCCAAUAGCUCCCAAGUCAGUUGACUUUAGGGUAUUAGGUGUUAAAACACCCCUUCGGGCUUAAUUGCUUAGGUUAGGGAGGCUACGAAACCAAACUUAUCCACGUUUUAUUAUCAUCAAUACUAUCUUUUUUUUUUUUUUUUUUUUUUUUUUUUUUUUUUGCAAAUUAUAUACUAUCCUUUUCCCUUAGUUGUUACCUUCAACAAAAGAACAUAAUUAAUGUAAUAAUCCAAUGUGCAACCCACAAUCAUAUGUUAAAGUGUGUGUGUGAAAAUGAAGGUUUAAUAAUACUUGUUAAAUGAGUAUAGGAGCAGAAUCAAGUGAUAACAAUGUGAGAGUUUGUAAACCUGAAUAUUUCAAGAAGUAUUAUGAUAGACCUUGGUAAUGAAACUUACUAAGAUGCGUCUCUAGAGUCAAUAAAAUUGAUUCCAUACUCUGCCAUCCUAAUAACAAUUUUGUCAAAUGGUUUUAAUAAUAGCAAAAACAGUUAGCAAGUUAGUAUUUUUUUUUUUUUUAAACUACUACCCUCUCCCCCCAACCAAAACGAGACAUUGUCCUCAAUGUUCGAAGGUAGAAAGAUAGAGUAUAGAAGACAUCACCUGAAACAGCGAACAAUGACAAACCUGAAACACACUUAAACAAACAUAAGAAGUAACAAAACAAAAUAAUAUGCUAUUAAUAAAACCAAAAGACACAAGGUUUCACAGAUGAAGGCUCAAAUCUAAUCUAAGCUUUUUACGGCUUUCCUUAGUUGACCAAUCUAGACGACUCAUGCAGGGAUCAAUGACAGGGAUGAAAGAUUGUAGUUGGUCAAUCAAUUGUUCAGCAGUAGCAGCAGAGAUUAUGAUUCGUCGUGCCGAAGAUGUUAGAAAUUCCUGUUCCACAGCUUGAUCAAGGAAAGACAGCAACUUAUCAUAAAAACCAUUAACAUUUAACAAACCUAUAGGUUUAUGGUGAAUGUGCAGUUGGGCCCAAGAUGAAAUAUGAAAGAUCUCUUCCAAUGUGCCCAGACCACCUGGUAAGGCAAUGAAGGCAUCAGCAUGGUUAAACAUGGUAUUCAGUCGGUCAGACAUUGUUGGGACCUGUAGUUCUCUCCAAUUGUUUUUCCAAUGAUGUCCCCAUUGCUAAAGCUUUGGGGACAACCCCCAAAACUUGACUGCCUCCUAAAAAUGCAGCCAUUGACACACCUCCCAUUAACCCAAGGCUACCUCCCCCAUACACUAAAUGAAUCUUUCUCUCAGCUAGUACCCGACCAAGAUGAUUUGCUGAUUCUAAAAACUCUUUUUCUUUCCCAGAACUGGAUCCACCGAAAACACAAAUAUUUCUUAUAUGAUGACUUGAGGAACCUGCCAUUUCUACACACUUCUAUAUUUGAUGAAUAUAUGGGAUGAGUAGAAAUGAAGGGAAGGAAGAGAAGAAUUUAUAGAUGAAAAAGUGAAAAUGCAAUCAUACCACCUAUAUAUAGGCCAGCUGUAGUCUCACAAACUCUCUCUCUCUCUCUAUUAAUUAUUUAUUUUGAAAAAGCAUGUAUGUACAGGUAGUUGUGAUUGUGGCUCACAUCUUCCCUUGGUUUUACGUCCAAGAACGGCUUAAACGCCCUCUAUGGGUCGGGGAUAGGCUUCCCAUCCAGUUUUCUUAAAAACUGGCAAACAGGGUCUUUUUUAGUCAGAUUCCCAAGACUAAGUCGAUCAUGUUCUUUAUGGAAUUGUGGCCAUAAAUCAUGAAUUACACGAUGCACAUCUCCACUAGGAUGCGUCUCAAGGGUCAACAAAAGAUUAUCUAAAGACCCCUUACUCAGGCCAUCCUUAAUGAAUUGUAUUUUAUCUUCACGGUUUACAGAUACCAUUCCUAAAGAACGACAUGUUGCAUUACAAGUCCAUCUGGCACAUCUGUGACAGACUUUCAGUCGUUUUGCACGACGUUUCUUUGCAAAAGUGCUUUUACCUGUUCCAGGCAUGUGUGAAAUGAAAGAAUUGGAGGACUCACCUGAUAAUCGGACCUUUGCUUCAAUUAGCCAGCGAAUAUCUUCAGGAAUUCCAUGAUUCAUUAACAACCGUAAUCUUUCACACCUAGCACGAUAAAUUUUAUUAAUCGCAUUUGGAGGCAAAGCGGGAAAAUACCUUUUCAACUUUUCAAGAGUGGUGUCCAUUUUCAAAAGAGAAUUGGAGAAGAGAUUCAAAGAAGGGAGAAAGAGCUAAGAAUUGUACAAAUAUAUACAGAUAUCAGUUAUUUGGGAAACUGAAAGAACCGACUUAAGUCACGGAGUACCGUUAUCCGCCAUUUGACCGGGGUGAAAGAGAGACUAGCAAAACAAUAGAUACAACAAAACACAAAACAAUGUGAGAAAAACAAAAUAAUCAACCUUUAUCUACAAGAUCAUUCAAACCAAUGGAUUCAUUUUCACUAGGAAACUCAUCAAAGUAAGCUUUCAAAGGGAUGUCUAUUGACCUUCAAAACAUUGUCAUUCUUUGGAUUCUCAAUAUCAAGGGCCCCAUAAGGAUACACAUGUUUCAAAAUAAAUGGACCGCUCCAUUGUGAUCUUAUUUUUUCAGGAAAUAAAUGGAGUCGAGAAUUAUAAGGCAAAACGUUUUGACCAGUAUCAACUUUUUGACAAUUUUCACAAGUUUUGCAGAAUGCAUGUGUGUCCUUGAACAUGGUGGGCCAAUAGAAUCCAGAUUGUAAGAUUUUUGCAAUCGUCCUUUUUGACGAUAAAUGACUCCCACAUGCCUCAGAAUGACAAAGUUUAAUGACACCACUUACCUCAUUGUCGGGAAUGCAUUUUUGAAAUAAUUGAUCAGGACAAUUUUUGAAUAAGUAAGGGUCAUCCAAAUAAAAGUUCUUCACCUUGUUCAAAAACUUUCCUUUGUCUUCGAUACUCCAGUGAGCUGGCAAAUCUCCUGUUGCAAGAAAAUUGAUAUUUUUAGCAGACCAAGGCAUUGAACAAUGAGAAAGUAAGGAUUCGUCAGGAGAGUAAGCAUCGAUUGGUGGGAUGUCAGAUGUCAAAUCUGUUGUCACUCUUGACAAAAGAUCGGCAUCAAUAUUUUUAGUGCCUUUUUCAUCUGUGAUUUCUUCCUGAGAAUAAAUCAUUUUCAAAUCUUCAGAUUUAUCCAACUCAAUUUUACUCAAAGUAGAUUCAAGUUGAUCAUGAACUAAUUCUUCAAUAAGAUCUACUUCUUGUAAAUCAUUAUCAUCUCCGGGCUGCUUGCAAAUGUUGAAAAUAUUCAUCUCCAAUGUCAUGUUUCCAAAUGAUAGCUUCAUCAGUCCAUUCCUACAAUUAAUCAAUGCAUUAGAAGUUGCAAGAAACGGACGUCCUAAAAUAAUAGGAAAUGAAUUACAUGCUUCAACAGGUUGCGUGUCCAAGACAAUAAAAUCCACAGGAUAAAUGAAUUUAUCGACUUGUACUAACACAUCUUCAAUUAUUCCUCUAGGCACUUUUACAGAUCUAUCGGCAAGUAAAAGAGUUACAGAAGUUGGUUUUAACUCACCUAGAUUGAGACUUGAAAAACUGAAUAUGGAAGUAAAUUCACACUAGCUCCAAGAUCAAGUAAGGCUCUUUCAAUUUUAUGUUCUCCAAUAAAGCAAGAAAUUGUAGGACAACCAGGGUCUUUAUAUUUCAAAGCAUUAUUGUUCUGAAGAAUGGCACUUACUUGUUCGGCUAAAAAGGCUUUCUUUUUCACAUUCAGUUUUCUCUUCACAGUGCACAGAUCUUUCAAAAAUUUAGCAUAGGAAGGAACCUGUUUAAUAGCAUCCAACAAAGGUAUAUUGAUCCUUACCUGUUUGAAAAUUUCAAAGAUUUCAGAGUUGUGAUUGACUUUCCUUUGUUUGGUCAUGGCAUGAGGAAAUGGAAGUGCUGGCGGGGAAUCAGCCUUUUCUUUGCAAUGUUCAGGUUCAACCCCUUCCUUACCCUCAGAGAUAGACUCAUCAUCUUUCUCACAAGGUUCAAGAAUAGGUUUUUCAAUAACCUUACCACUACGAAGAGUGAUGACUGAUUUGACUUGAUCCAUGUGUUGGCUUCCAGAACUACUUGCAUUUGCAUUGUAUUGCCCCUUUGGAUUUUGCUGUGGUUGAGAAGGAAACUUACCUUUCUCUUGGAAACUGAGAGCAGAUGUUAAUUUUGCAAGAGCAUCUUUAAAAUCUGUCAUGCUUUGAGCAAGUUGAGUGUUGAUUGUCUCCUGCUUUUCAAUGAAUGCAUGCAAUGUGUCCUCAAGAUUUCUUCUAGGAGGUGGAGCAUAAGGAGGUGCAUAUCCAUGAGAAUUUUGAAAAUUAUGGUGUGCUUGAAACGGUGGCUGUGAAGUUUGUGCAUUGUUGCUAUCACUCUUCCAACUAAAAUUUGGGUGAUUUCUCCAACCAGGGUUAUAUGUUUGUGAGUAUGGGUUAUGGUUGGGUCUUUGGAAACUGUUUAAAGCAUGGGCUUGUUCAUGGAGGCAUUCCUUGAAAGAAGGCAAAGUUGGACAAUCAUUUUGCAUGCUCAUUGUUUCACAGAUUUGACACACAAUGUCUUGAACAGAUUUUAAUUGACCACUCUUUUUUAAUUCUAGUGCCUCGACUUUUCUAGCUAAAGAUGCAAACUUGGCUUGGAGGUCAUGAUCUUCCCUAAGGUUGUGCAUACCUCCACUAGAUGUAUGAGGUUGAGUUUUACUGGUGCCUCAUAAGUACCUGUGGUGUCCCAAUUUUGAGCAUUUUCGGCUAGCAAGUCUAGGUACUCCAUUGCUUCAUUAGGGUCUUUAUCUUCAAAGGUUCCAUUGCACAUCAAUUCAACCAUUUGCCUAUCUCUAGGUGUUAAACCUUCAUAAAAAUGUGAAACCAAUCUCCAUGUUUCAAAACCAUGAUGUGGGCAAGUAUUAAGCAAAUCUCGAUACCUAUCCCAACAUUGGUAAAAUGUUUCUCCUGGCUUUUGAGUGAAAGUGAUGAUUUGUCUUUUGAAAGAGUUUGUUCUGUGAGAUGGAAAAAACUUCUUUAAAAAUUGUUGUUGCAUAUCAUCCCAAGCACGAAUGGAUCCUGGUCUCAAAUUUUGUAGCCAUGUUUUAGCUUUAUCUUUUAAUGAAAAAGGAAAAAGCUUUAAUCGAAUGGUGUUCAUGCUACAAUUUGAGUCAUUAUAGGUAUUACAGACCUCCUCAAAUUCCCUUAAAUGCAAGUAUGGAUUUUCUAAGUCUAAGCCAUGAAAAGAUGGUAAAAGUUGAAUAAUGCCUGGCUUAAAAUUAAAAUGAGAUGCAUCAGGAGGGAAAACUAUGCAUGAGGGUGCACUUGUUCUUGUGGGAUUCAUGUGGUCUCUAAGUGUUCUCAUACGGUUAUUCUCAUUAUUCUCAUUAUGAAGUGAUUGAUUAUCUUCUUCGGCCAUAUUUUCUGAAAAUGAUGAGGAUACCCUACAAAGUCUACCACUUAAUGUACGUGACCAAACUCUCAUGCACGUGUAAGAAGAGAAUAAAAGCAAGAAAAGAAAAUAGAAGAAAAAGAAACAAAAAAAACAAAAAAAAAAUAGAUAAAAUGAAAAGUGAAAAGAGAAAAUAAAUUAAAUAUUAUAAUUUAUACAAGAAUUUACCUCCCCGGCAACGGCGCCAAAAACUUGACACGACCAAAAGCUUGAUGUCUUUCCCAAGUGCAGGAGUGUCGAAGUAAUAAAUAACCCGGCAAGACCGGGGUCGAACCACAGAGAGGUUAAUUGUAUAAAUUAUAAAUAACAAGACAACAACAACAACAACAACAACAAACAAUAACAACAAUAAUAAUACUCAGUACGUGGCGUUGUUAUACCUGAGAAUGAUCUAAAGAUCGGGUCACAGGUUUCCAGCCUAUAUACUGACUUUAUGAAAAGAUCAAAGAUAUAUAUUAUAUAAUAUAAACAGAAUGUAAAUAAUAAUAAUAAUAAUAAUAACAGAAGAUGAAGAAAUUAAUGAGAACUUUGAGAUAAAAGAUUAACGUAAGGAUUAAACAAUGAUAAAAACAAAUGUCAAGGUUAGAGGAUCCACUAAUGGUACUUCAAACAAGUAUAAUAUAAACUCUUAUUACUCAAUUGGAAACCACACAUAAAGGAGGUUCCAAUCAGAUUAUAAAUUGUUAACAUGAUUACAUUAAUUAUCUUAUUCGAAUAAAGCUAAUACUUGUAAAUGUUGGCAGGCAUUCAUGAUUAUAACUUAUGUUAACAACAAAUCAAGUUCCUUUCAUAGCUCAGGUGUCGGUUAAACCAUACAGUAUGGGCUAUGAAAGUGCCAAGUAUUUGUUGUACCAAGUGUUACACAACAUAAAUCUAGAUUAACCAUUUAACAAGCAAAGUAUUAAAGUGAACAAGAUAACAAAUAUAAAACAUGUUAGUAUCCAACGUUAAGGUCCAUGUUAAGUUUAUAUUAUACUUGUUCUUACACCAUUAGUGUACCCUUUUCACCUUGACAUAAUUAACUUAGCUAGACAUAAUAAAAGAAAGAAACAUAAAUGAGCAAGACAAGAACAUAAAUGAGAAAGAAGUUAACUAGACAAAGGAAAGGAAAUGAAGUGCAUAAACUUGAUAUUAAUGAAAGCAAGACAUAAGCAAUACAAAGAGAGAAAGCAAGAGCAUGAUCUUGAUCUGAACACCAAGAUGCCUCAAUACAUGGUAAGUGCCUCCUUUUAUAGGCCAAAAUUUGGAACUAUUGAUUUGUUGACUAAUUGAUGAGUGGGUGGCCACAUCUUGACUAGAUAACAAUCCUUAUCUUCUUGUCUGAUCAAGACGUCAUUGCUAACAUCAUAAUUUGCCCAGAAUCCUCAAGAAUGUUCUAGGAAAUUGUCUCAGCUUUCCAACAAAAAAAAGAUGAGGUCAUUUGGACUUCUAGAACUCAAGAUAUGGGCUGAACACUAAAUAGUGUUUGGGCUGCAGGACAGCUUCGGACUUCUUCGUUGUUCCUUCAAUUUGGACUUCAAAACGACCUUUUCAAAUCUUGGGCUCCUCAUGAAAGUUGUAGGCCUUUGUCUUACCUUUCCAUCCAUAUAAAAUGGACCUAAAUCCGAGAUCUAGAGCUCCAGAUAUGAUCCAAUUACCGAGCACUGUUCCGGUUUGGACUGCACCGACAUCUCUUUUCUAAAUUUGGCCAUCUCUUUGUCCUUUAACUUUCAAUGCUUAAACUCAUCAAUCAAUCCUUUUAUUUAUGUGAUAGUCCUGCAUUUAAAAUGAGCAUUUACCAUAAAUUAAGGUAUCUUAUAAUAUCAAACUUGUUAUAUAAAACAUGCUUUAGUUAAGGAGUUAUUGAUACUUCAAGUGCAAAAUGAUGAUAUAAAACCUUGAUAAACAUGCACUUUUAAGUACUAAUCAUAAUGAAACUCAAAUUUAGGAUCAAAUGAAUAUUUUUCUUGCCAUUUGAAUCUGAAAGCCUAUUUGAGGUUACGGUUGAACAGUCAUUUCACAAUUGUUUUGAUUUUUUUUCCUUCAAAUUACAAAAGUCUCAACACUAGUUGCAAGCAUUGAGCACACGAGAUAAUCUUGAACUAGGUAUGUAUCUGCUGUAGUCUCUUGGCAUACAUCAAGUUUUGGCAUUUGUACUCAAUAAAUCUCUUGUUAGAUACCAACAGUUUCAUCAUUAGUAGUGCAAGCUCAGCAGAAUUCCAGAAAGAGCAGAGUUUAGUAAUCAAACAAGUGGAAAAAAACACCAGAUAACAAUGUUUGAAACUACAUUUAUUUUAAUUGAUAAAGGUAUAUGUAUAAUACAAGAAAGCAAUGAAAUACAGGGAAAUAGGAAGCGAAAAUAUAUAAAUGAAUGAAAAACACCAGAAGCAAACAGCACAACUCCUCACACUUUCUUCACAGGGACCCGAAAGAUAUGAACUUUUGACAGAAAGCAAACAUAUCAAACUCAGAAUGAGCAAUAGCAUGGUCUAGUUUCCAGGUGGUGGGGAGAGGAACGGGAUAGAGGGGAUUGUUGUUGGGAUAGGGAUAGUGGGCAUUGAGGGCAUGUUCGGAAGUGGAGGCAAGGUGACCUUGGGGAGACUAGGCAUUGUUGGCAGGCUAGGAAGUGGAGGCAGUGUGGGUUUAGGCAGGGAAGGUUGUGCGGUUGGCAAUGUGGGCUGUGGUAGUGUUGGUAUAGAAGGCAUUGGUGGCAACGUUGGUUUAGGCAAAUUGGGUACCGAAGGUAAAGGGGGCAAUUGCAGAAGCUGACGAGCUGCC